GACGUAGGAGGCGAGCGUUAUCCGGAUUCACUGGGCGUAAAGCGCACGUAGGCGGAUUGCUAAGUCAGGGGUGAAAUCCUGGAGCUCAACUCCAGAACUGCCCUUGAUACUGGCGGUCUCGAGUCCGGGAGAGGUGAGUGGAACUGCGAGUGUAGAGGUGAAAUUCGUAGAUAUUCGGCAAGAACACCUGUGGCGGAAGGCGG
rnacentral:rRNA from 1 species